rnacentral:rRNA from 1 species
GUAGGUGGCAAGCGUUGUCCGGGAAUUAUUGAGCGUAAAGCGCGCGCAGGCGGUUCUUUAAGUCUGAUGUGAAAGCCCACGGGCUCAACCGUGGAGGGUCAUUGGAAACUGGAGAACUUGAGUACAGAAGAGGAAAGCGGAAUUCCACGUGUAGCGGUGAAAUGCGUAGAGAUGUGGAGGAACACCAGUGGCGAAGGCGGCUUUCUGGUCUGUAACUGACGCUGAGGCGCGAAAGCGUGGGGAGCAAACAGGAUUAGAUACCCUGGUAGUCCACGCCGUAAACGAUGAGUGCUAAGUGUUAGGGGGUUUCCGCCCCUUAGUGCUGCAGCUAACGCAUUAAGCACUCCGCCUGGGGAGUACGGCCGCAAAGGCUGA